GCACAGCAGGAUGUGGAAGUGAUCCACCGCGCGUGUUGAGCACCAGGAGGCCAGGCAGGCACAGCAGGAUGUGGAAGUGAUCCACCGCGCGUGUUGAGCACCACUGUCCCACGUGAAUACCAUUGUUAAGGAGAAGAUGGCUCAUUGACUCAACGUCAGGGGAAGCAUUUCUGGAGAGACUGUUCCAUAACGAUCCUCAAACCACCAGCACCGCACUGACUGCAAAGUCUCUCUGUGCACUCAAGGGAGCUUUGAAAAGAUGCAGUGAUUGUUUGUUUGAAGGGAUGGACAGCUCUUGCAGAACCUUGGCACCCUCCCCAGGCUGUAAUGCCACAAUUCUUCUGCUUUGGAAAAGGUUGCUGGCUACAGAGCAUUAACAAGGACAAACCUGGCACAGGCAGAGUCAACAGUGAGUUUUCCAGCACACACCUGCCUGUGACAUCCACCUUGUCUGCAAAAGCUGAUGGGCAUGGAAGGGAACAGGACAACCUGGGAGUGUCUUCAUGGGCAGCAAGGCACUUGGUCUUCAUGUUGGGCGUGAUGGCAAGAGGGCUGGAGAGGAGCAUUGGUGAGGGAGACCACCUGAGACCACCAGCUUAUAUUACAGAGGUCACAGCCGGAACAGCUUCAGUGCGACCAGAGCUGCAACACCAGCCUGUGCAAGCCAAGGAACUGACCCCAAAAAGCAAAUCUUAGCGGGGCAGGUGACAAAACAAACGAACAAGCCGACAAACAAAACCAAACCCAACCAAACAAAAAACCAAAAACCAAACAGAAAUAAGAUCACAUGCAGGACACUGCCCCUAUAAACGGCCUCUUCCCUAGAAAAGCAAAUUUGGAGGCACAGAGCAUUUCUAUAUUGUGAUAAGGUGCAGCCUGCAGGACCCCACUGGACUAGAAGAGAUUUCCAGCAGUGCCUCUGAGCUCUUUCCCUCAGGACUGCCCCAUGAAGAGCUCCCGUGCCAGCCAUUGCCUGCGAACGCUUUGGCUCUCCACCCAUGAGCAGCCCAACACAAACUGGGGACGGCUGUUGAUAACAGAGCUCCUCAGCCCUCCCACGGCAGAUCCGCAUUUUCUCUUGCUCCUACUCACCCAGUGGCCCCAGCGUUACCACCUCCAUACAGAGCCCCAGAGAGUGUGUUACAAAGCACUUCAGACCUGGUGGUCCUUGCUUUACCUUUAGCGUUGAUAUAUUUUAUUAGCAAGGUGCACCUUGGCACUAAAGGAUCGGUGGUGCUGUACAGGGUGCAAGGACCCACUGAAACCGAUGCUUCAUCAUGUUUGGGGCUAUAUACACAGUGGAACAUAGUCCUUAUCCCAAAGAGUUCAGGCUCUGGCGUGGUAAGACCAAGAGGUGCCCUAGUAGCACAGUCACUGUGAACUGGCUUACACAGCCAAUAAUGGGCCUGAUCUCAGGGUAAAAUAGAUAUGUUUUUAAAAUAGAUAUGCUUUUAAAAAAAUACAUAUACUUUUUUGCUGGGCUAGGUUGAGUGGGGAUAAGAUCCCCCACUGGGAGCUCCAUGCCCAGGCUGGGGGUGUGACGGCCCUUGCUGCGGACCUCUCAUCCAGGGCCACGGUCACUCCCCCACACUUGCUGUAGAAACACAGGACAAAAACAACUAAAUGCAGCAGAGAAGCUGCAGAAUCUGAAGCCACCAGGUCUGUCUUACCAGCCUCUUCGUCUCCUCACAUGGCUUGAUGCAUUUGUCAAGGUCUGAACUGCCAGGUGAGAUAAGGAAGUAUGCACCCCCCACUGCUUACAGCCCUGCUGAACCCGGGGCAGCGGCAGCGGGAGCCGAACCGGCCCCGACGCUUGGUGCGCUGUGACUGCCUGCGAGUGACGAGGACAGCAGGCGCGUGGCAAACCCGAUUGCUGCCUGGAGGUGGUUUCAAUAGAGAAAUUUGGUGUCAGGAUCACUUCUGGGCCAUUAACAUGUCUUUGAGCUGCUCACAGCAAUGAAGGAUGAAAAGGGGCUGGUGGGCGGUGGGAGGGCAGGAGGAGCAGGCGAGUGACCGUGAACUGUGAGAGAUGCUCCGUGCUGUUUUCUGGAAGUGCCCGACAACCCCAGUCCUGACUGUCUGUUCCAGAACUUCAUUCAAAGCUUAAUUAAUUAGGAACUUAAUUCCUUUUGGGUUACAUGUUAAAAGAAACCCUGUUAGCAAGUAGUUUUCCCACACAGAUAGAUGAGAGGCCAAGACUAACGAAUCUGAUGAAAAUUUGUUGAAAAUGUUGAAGUACUCAGAUGUAAAACCUCCCAGUGCCCAGAUGUCCUUUCAGCUCAUGGUUUGCCAGACUUGGCCCACAACACUUUCCUUCCUGCUCCUUUAUUUGAAGGGUGAAUAAAUAUAGCUCUGAACAAAGAAAGUGUUAAGAAAAA